ensembl:lncRNA
GUUUGUGUGUGUGUGGGGGGGGGCAGUAGUGGCCACUUCUGAGACAAGGGUUUUGAAGGGUGGUUUUAAAGGGGUUUGGCUCGAGUUGGAGGACCCUCCAGGCUCUGGCAAAGGGUUUGACAACAGUUAAUGGGUCACACUCUGGCUUGUCAUAUCCUCAGGAAAAGUGGAUCGGUUUUCUAAGUCCACGAGUGACAGGAUUAUUGUGUAAGUGCUUCCGAAACACUUUCAUCUCGACUAUUCUCAUCUGAAGCUGUUGGAAGGGGCUUUGCCAAGAAAAGCAAAGAAUAAAACUGAAACAUACCCAGUGCGAACGUCCUGGGUUUCACAAGCUCCACGCCAGGGACUUUGGAUUUUAAACAGUAUGCCCUCAGAGCAGGUUGGGUGCAGGGACGGAAGCUCAUCACAGGACCUUUACACAGCGGAAAGGAAGCAGAGGGUUCAAACCAUGUUUCUUUGCCCCGGGCUGAGCCAUCACUCAUGGAGAUUUUCCACUCCAGCCAGGAGUGUCAGACCUCUUCAGAGACAAGCCCAUCCAAGGGCUAUAUUCUGGGCCAGGCAGUGACCUAGUUUUAUGCACGACCCACGGGAUAAAUGCAUUUUGUUCCCCAGCCUCCUCUAAAAAGCCAGAUGCUUUCUCAGUAUUUCUCUUGAUCCUAACAUGCUAAGUGUCUCCUAAGAGUGGGUUGUGGUCUCCCUGCACCAGCAUUAUCUGGAGCAAGUGUUAAAAAUGCAGAUUCCUGCCCCCAACCACCCUGACCUACAGAAUCAAAGUUUGGGGGAUUCUCACCCUGAAUCUGUAUUCUUAGGCACAGAGAGGUUUGAGGAGCCCUGAGAAAGGUGAAGAGGUGUGGUUUGACUUUUUUUCCCUUUAGCCCUGCCCCAGCAGCAAUACUGCCUUGUGUGCUCCUCCUCUGGACCCCCAGACUGGAAACCGGGACACUGCGGGGGCCAUGUACAUAGGACCCCUUCACAUCCAACCAUCUCCUGGGACUCAUUUAAUCAAUGUCUUUGGUAAUCAAGUACGGUCUCCUCAUUACACCUGUCCACACCAGCCCCUGUCCUGUCCAUUCUGUCCUUUGUCUCUGCCCCCACCCACCCACCUUGGGUCUUCUUGUGCAGCCCUUUUCCUCUCAUCCCUAAGUGCUCUACAGACUGGGAUCAGGGUACUUCUUUUUUUGCUAUAAACAGACUGACUUUUGUCAUUGGCAGUUUCUUUGGAAAUUCUUUCUAUCCUUAGCACAAUUUCCAUUCCAACCAGGAGUGUCUCAGAGAGUGUCUGCAGAGAACCAGAAUCUCUGCAGGGAGAAAUCCAUGCGCAGACUACAUUCUGGCAGGACCCACUGAUGGCAGAAAGUGUGAAGUGGGACAUCUGUCUCCAGCAUGUUUACUUUCCCUCUGACAAGUGUCGUUGAUCCUGAUCUUUUUGUUGUUCAUUCACUAAGUCGUGUCCAGCUCUUUGUGACCUCAUGGACUGCAGCAUGCCAGGCUCCUCUGUCCUUCACUGUCUCCCAGAGUUUGAUCAAAUUCAUGUCCAUGAGUCAGUGUUUCCUGAUCUAUCACCUGCAAACUGGAGGCCCAGGAAAGCCAGUGGUGUUGAUCCAGUCUAAACCCAAAAUCCAGAGAACCAGAGGAGCCAAUGGUGUGAGUCCUAGUCCAAGUCCAGUGACCCAAGAACCAGGAGUGCAGCUAUCAGAAGGCAGAAGAUGAAUGUCUCAGUUCAAGCAGAGAGCAAGUUCAUUCUUCCUCUUUUUGUUCUAAUUAGGCCCCCCACAAAUGGGAAGAGACCCAUUCAUGUGGGGGAGGGGGAUCUUCUUCACACAGUCAAAUGCUAGUCUCUUCCAGAAACAUCUUUACAGACACACCCAGUAAAUAGUCUUCUGGGCAGCCCAGUCAAAUUGAUAUAAAAUUAAUCAUCAAAAUGAUUAUAUAGGAUAAAAAUAAAUGGAUGCCAGGAGAUGAAAGAGACGCAGAUUCAGUCCCUGGGUUGGGAGGAUCCCCUGGAGGAGGGCAUGGCAACACACUCCAAGAUUCUUGCCUGGAGAAUCCCCAUGAACAGAGGAGCCUGGUAGGCUACAGUCCAUGAGGUCACAAAGAGUCAGACACAACUGAACGACUUAGCACUCACAAGGAAACCUUACGUGACUUAAUCAAAUCCUUAGAUGUAAAGAACCUUGGGCAAAUCCAAGUUCUUGUUAGGGAUGCCAAUCUAGUAAUGGUCCUUUAAGUUCCAGACGACACAUAGAAGAAGAUGCGGAAUCCCAUAACUCCCUCUUCCUGUAUCUCUGAGACUCCGAGCAGGAUAAGGCAGUCUAAACACAAUGAUGCACUUUGUAGAGCUGAAGAAAAAGAAUCAAUUGAAGAAUUUGACAAUGAUCUCUGAGGAGCAAGAAGAGGGAAGUUCAAGCAUGAAUAUUACACCUUCACCUCUUGUGUCUGGAUGAUUAAAUUGGUCACAGGAACAUUUGAUUUCUAAAACUAGAAGCCUGUCACUUUGGGGCAAAUUUGUGAGACCAUUAGUGGGACACUGGGCAAAUUCAUGGAAUGGGGCUACGAGACAGAGGUCCUGAGGGUGAUGGACAUUACAGUGUAUCUUUUAUUUCCUCAAAAUAGGCCAGGUCCUGGGGAUAUACACUGCUAAGCCAAGCAGACAUGGUUCCUGUCCUCAUAGAGCUUAUAGACAAGUAAUGACUGUAAACUGUGACAAUUGCUGUUCAUCAUAAUGGUCACCCAGAAAUACCUAAGCACCACCCAGGUGGUCUUAUCCUGCUCAGAUCCAAUGCAGACAGGGAGGAGAACAAGGCAAGGGACAGUACCUGAGCCGUUGCUCUUGUCUGGGGAAUGCGAAUCAGAAAGGCCCUUGGGUGAUACUGUCACUGACUGUCAGCCCUGCUACGAAGCAUGACCCAUGCAGGACCCCUCGCCGGUCCGGCCCUGGUUUCCUCAUCAGGCUGAUAAGGUCGAAGUAGGGCUGUUCUAUCGAUACAGACCCUGAUGCAGGGAAAGACUGCAGACAGGAGGAGAAGGGGACGACAGAGGACAAGAUGGUUGGAUGGCAUCAGUGACUCAAUGGACAUGAAUCUGAGCUAACUCCGGGAGAUGGUGAGGGACAGGGAAGCCGGGCACGCUGCACUCCAUGGGGUCACAAAGGGCCUGACACAACUGAACGACUGAAUAACAAUAACAAUUGGUACAGAACUUUCUAAGCACCUAGACGUCUGGCAAAAUCCAACCAACAGUUUCAUGAGGUAAUGAGACUUCUAGGAAAACAACCACUGCUGAGGAUGAACUCACAACGGAAAAUUACAAACCGCACGAGGAACCAACCACUACAGAGGAGGGGAGUCAGGACACGUAAUAAUGGAAAACAUGUAUUCCACAUAUUGACUGUAUAACAGAAUAAUUUUAAAUAGUCUUUAGAAUAUUUAAAAUGUUAAGGAAGUUAAAAAAAAAAAGCCUUAAUACAAGAACAUAACACUAUUAAAAAAAAGAGAGGAGGAAAGCCAGCUUGAAAAACUAAGCAAAAUAGAAUUUUCAAAAAAAUAGAGAGUAUGGAUCCGACCACCAGCAUCAUGCCAAAGUAUCAAUAAAAACAAUAAAUACUUGUUGAACAAGAAAAAACAAAAAC